AAACUAACCCUAGCCGCCAUUCAUUUUGUUUUCCUAACCUAACCUAUAGAAGAAAGAAACAAAGAAAGGGAAAGAAAGAAGAAGGGGAUGCAUGGGAGGAAGGGAGAGCCGAGAAGAAGAUGGGGAAGGGAAGGGGACGGCGCCGGCAGGGCUGGGAGUCGCUGUUACCGUCGAGUUACUGAGAGAGGGAGAGAGAGGCCGUGACUGGAAGGAGAGAGAGAAGUUGUCUCGUGUCUUGUUGUUGCCGCCACCGUCGCCCUCAUCCCGAAUCGCCGUCGUCGCCGUCACGGGGAAAGAUCAGAGCUAAAGGAGAGAACCACGUGAGGAAGGGGAGUUGUUGCUGCCGAAGACGCGAGCUAGAGGAGCUGCGUUCAGCCACCGCCGUUGCACCAGUCACCGCCAUUUUUGUAGAUGGAGACCGUUGCCAUUGUUGUGCACGUUGGAGGAGGAGGACCAGAACGUGAUGGAGGGGAAGAAGCCGUUCUGGGUUCACAGUCACUACCGUGCGUUCUGUCAUCCGCUGCCUACAUCGCCGCCACAGCUGCUGUUGUCAGUAACCGCCGGUGGAAUCCUUGUCUCCUUGGGUCGAGUUCCGAGGAAUUGCAUCUCAAUUUAAGGUUGCCGUUGAACCACCGGAGUUUCUAGCCGUUGUUGGAGCUGCCGCCGGAUCAACUCGAGAUUGUGGCUGCUCUGUUCUACUGUUACCGUAAGUGUAAUUUAUUUUGAACCCCGCCGUUAGUUUUCUGUUAUAUGUAAUUAAGGCUUCCGUGAUAUUGCGGAAGUGAGCAGACCUGUGGUUGAAGCUGCAGUUGAUUUUGGGCUGAGAGAAAGGGUUCUUGUGACGCAUUUAGCUUAUGGGUUUGACUUUUUGAGGUCUUUCCUUUUUCAUGUUAUGGGCGACGAAGUUUGGAAGAGCUUAUUUACUCACAUUUUGUUUUAAACGAUGUUUGUGUUGUAUUAGUUACUUUUUCCCU